CUGCAAUUAUUAUUAUUUUUUAUUUUCAUCUUUUAAGUUCAGGGGUACAUGUGCAGGAUGUGCAGGAUGUCCAGGUUUGUUACAUAGCUUGCCAUUCUGUGUCUUUCAUUGGAGAACACAUUGAGAUUUAAGAAAGAUCGUCUUCAAGCUCUGAGAUUCUUUUCUUGGCCUAUUCUGCUGUUAAUAAUUGUGAUUUCAUUGUGAAGUUCUUGUAGGGUG